rnacentral:rRNA from 1 species
ACGCUGGCGGCGUGCCUAACACAUGCAAGUCGAACGGAGUUUAAACGCAGAAAUGAGAGCAGCUUGCUGAAGGAUUUCUGUUAACUAGUGGCGGACGGGUGAGUAACGCGUGAGUAACCUGCCCUUGAGAGGGGAAUAACGUUCUGAAAAGGACGCUAAUACCGCAUAACAUAGGAUUGUCGCAUGGCAGACCUAUCAAAGAUUUAUCGCUCAAGGAUGGACUCGCGUCCGAUUAGCCGGUUGCGGGGUAACGGCCCACCAAAGCAACGAUCGGUAGCCGGACUGAGAGGUUUGAACGGCCACAUUGGGACUGAGACACGGCCCAGACUCCUACGGGAGGCAGCAGUGGGGGAUAUUGCGCAAUGGGGGAAACCCUGACGCAGCAACGCCGCGUGAAGGAUGAAGGUCUUCGGAUUGUAAACUUCUUUUAUUAAGGACGAAGAAUGACGGUACUUAAUGAAUAAGCUCCGGCUAACUACGUG